rnacentral:rRNA from 1 species
CCUACGGGGGGCUGCAGUGAGGAAUAUUGGUCAAUGGGCGCGAGCCUGAACCAGCCAAGCCGCGUGAAGGAUGACUGCCCUACGGGUUGUAAACUUCUUUUAUAAAGGAAUAAAGUGCGGCACGUGUGCCUUUUUGUAUGUAUUUUAUGAAUAAGGAUCGGCUAACUCCGUGCCAGCAGCCGCGGUAAUACGGAGGAUCCGAGCGUUAUCCGGAUUUAUUGGGUUUAAAGGGAGCGUAGGUGGGUUGGUAAGUCAGUUGUGAAAGUUUGCGGCUCAACCGUAAAACUGCCUUUGAUACUGGCAGCCUUGAGUACAGUUGAGGUAGGCGGAAUGCGUGGUGUAGCGGUGAAAUGCUUAGAGAUCACGAAGAACACCGAUUGCGAAGGCAGCCUACUAAACUGCCACUGACAUUGAGGCUCGAAAGUGUGGGUAUCAAACAGGAUUAGAUACCCGAGUAGUC